GAUACUGAAAGAAGUAGUUACUGAAACCCUGAAGAAACACAGUAUUACCGAGACUCAUGAAUGUUUCACUGCAUGCAGCCAGCGUCUCUUUGAAAUCUCUAAGUUCUAUCUAAAGGAUCUUAAAACUUCAAGGGGUCUAUUUGAAGAAAUGAAGAAAACAGCAAACAACAAUGCUGUACAGGGUAUCCCUUGUAGUUGCUGAAACUGACAGAGGAGUCUGGGACAGUUACAUACGACUCUUGAGAGCUAAAGCUGACUGUAGCACGCUACAUCUGGUGCGCUGCUCACUACAGAUGGUGUCUGACAUCACGUUCUCUGGUGGCAUUGCAGCCCUUCUUUUCUCAAAGCAUCCUGAUUCCAUCAUCUGAAGACAUUUUGAGCUUUUCAUAAGGAGACUGUAUGAUGGUCUUGGGAAAGGCACCCUCCUGUGGUUCAGUGGUAAUAGAAAAUCCAUUCUCAUAAUGUAU
rnacentral:lncRNA from 1 species